UUGACCACCCCUACUAAAUCUGGAGUUGACUGUGUUAAACUAAUAAUAGUUUUGACUGGCCUCAAAAAUCAAUCACAGCAAUUCUUUCACCUCAGCCUCCCAAGUGCUGAGAAGACAAGCAUGUGCCACAAUACAUUGCUUUAUUGUGUUUUAAAAUCAUGCAAAAUAAGAUUGUUAGCCAAGACUCUAAGCAUAGAGCAAACUCAGGUGGCACAGGGAAUGGACGGGCCCAGAACAGAAGUGAGGGAAACACUUGGUGAAGACCCUGGUGAGGCUCAGCUUUGGUAAUUGCUACUAACUAGGAACACGAUAACUGAAUUGGUUAAUUAAUUAGCAAUCUUUUGACAAGUUCAUGUAUUUCUACAUUGAUUGUAAUUGCUCCCAUUGACUCUCUCCUCCAGGUUCCAAUCAAACCAUUCCUCUUGUUAGCUGCACAGCUUCUACUUGUGAUUGGUUAAAAUAAAAUGAAUUAAUAAAAUGCAAAU
rnacentral:lncRNA from 1 species